UUUUUCCUACGGGGCGCAGCAGUUAGGAAUAUUCGUCAAUGGGGGAAACCCUGAACGAGCAAUGCCGCGUGAACGAUGAAGGCCCUAUGGGUUGUAAAGUUCUGUUGUUUGGAGCGAAUAACUAGGAGAGGAAAUGCUCUUAGUCUGACGGUACCAUUCAAGAAAGCCACGGCUAACUACGUGCCAGCAGCCGCGGUAAUACGUAGGUGGCGAGCGUUAUCCGGAUUUAUUGGGCGUAAAGCGUGCGCAGGCGGUUUGCUAAGUCUAAAAUUAAAUCCCGAAGCUUAACUUCGGUUCGUUUUAGA
rnacentral:rRNA from 1 species